rnacentral:rRNA from 1 species
CUUCGGAGCAUUUUACGAGGUGCUGCAUGGUUGUCGUCAGCUCGUGCCGUGAGGUGUCGGGUUAAGUCCCAUAACGAGCGCAACCCCUACCUUACGUUGCCAUCAGGUUAAGCUGGGGACUCUAAAGGAACUGCCUACGCAAGUAGUGAGGAAGGCGGGGAGUGACGUCAAAUCAGCACGGCCCUUACGUCCAGGGCUACACACGUGCUACAAUGGCCGAUACAGAGGGCAGCUACCUGGUGACAGGAUGCAAAUCUCCAAAGUCGGUCUCAGUUCGGAUCGGAGUCUGCAACCCGACUCCGUGAAGUUGGAUUCGCUAGUAAUCGCGCAUCAGCCAUGGCGCGGUGAAUACGUUCCCGGGCCUU